GUUGCUCUUUCGUACUAAUAUAAACAUUAACUAUCUCUAUUGUUUAUUGUUUUAUCAUUUUUAUCAGUGACAAUUGCUGCUGCUACGCUUAAUAACGAAAUUAGUAUUAUCUUGGCUUCUUAUAAUUCUGGUAGUCGACGAUAUGUAUUUUAUUUCCAAAUAGAUGAUCAACCUGCAUAUCGAGUAGAAAAUCUAGAUUUUCAAACCUACUUGAAAAUUAAACAUGAUAAUAAUGAAGCCUUUGCAUUCAUCAUAAGAUUAAUUGAGCUUCGAAAAUAUCCACUUUAUUCUGAAGAAUUUACCAGGGUCUAUAAAAGCAUCGACUGCAUUGACUUUGAGCUGAUUAAUUAAUUAGUAACUUAAUGAGUUGUACUUGUAAUAAAAACAAUUAUUAUAA